UGCUCUAAAAGUGGAAAGCAAGGUGAGAUAAUCCACAUUUAAAGCCUCUUUUGGGUGUGUUGGCCACAUCAGCACCGAGGAACCUCCAGCAAAGCCCAACUGCAAUAAUUACUGAUUCUUUCAUGUUUUGAGGCUGUUGAGAUGGGAAGGCCCUAAAAGAAGCAGAACUCCUGAAUUCCCUGAAUAUUCCCAGCACUCACCAGGAAGUCAUGGCACAGCCUGCAACACUUUUAAGCAAAUCCCACCAUUUGAAAUCCAAACUUUGCUUUAGAGAUGUCUUUAUUUACCACCAAGGAGAUGGAAUUACACACAAAAUAUGGAAUUACACACAAAACUCAGCUGAGAGCUGGAGAUGCUGAACACGGAGGUUGCAAGAGAUGUCUGGAUCCAGAAGGGUGAUGACUGGAGGAAAUAGCUGCGAGCUGCUGUGACCAGAGACUUCCUGGUGGGUGCUGGG